rnacentral:rRNA from 1 species
UACGUAGGGUGCGAGCGUUAAUCGGAAUUACUGGGAGUAAAGCGUGCGCAGGCGGCGCCGCAAGUCGAGUGUGAAAUCCCCGAGCUUAACUUGGGAAUUGCGCUCGAAACUACGGUGCUGGAGUGUGGCAGAGGGAGGUGGAAUUCCACGUGUAGCGGUGAAAUGCGUAGAGAUGUGGAGGAGCACCGAUGGCGAAGGCAGCCUCCUGGGCCAACACUGACGCUCAUGCACGAAAGCGUGGGGAGCAAACAGG